AUUGAACGCUGGCGGCAGGCUUAACACAUGCAAGUCGAGCGGGGUGAUGGUGCUUGCACUAUCACUUAGCGGCGGACGGGUGAGUAAUGCUUAGGAAUCUGCCUAUUAGUGGGGGACAACAUCUCGAAAGGGAUGCUAAUACCGCAUACGUCCUACGGGAGAAAGCAGGGGAUCACUUGUGACCUUGCGCUAAUAGAUGAGCCUAAGUCGGAUUAGCUAGUUGGUGGGGUAAAGGCCUACCAAGGCGACGAUCUGUAGCGGGUCUGAGAGGAUGAGCCGCCACACUGGGACUGGGACACGGCCCAGACUCCUACGGGAGGCAGCAGUGGGGAAUCUUGGACAAUGGGGGGAACCCUGAUCCAGCCAUGCCGCGUGUGUGAAGAAGGCCUUAUGGUUGUAAAGCACUUUAAGCGAGGAGGAGGCUCUUUUGGUUAAUACCCAAGAUGAGUGGACGUUACUCGCAGAAUAAGCACCGGCUAACUCUGUGCCAGCCGCCGCCGUAA
rnacentral:rRNA from 1 species